rnacentral:rRNA from 1 species
GAUGAACGCUGGCGGCGUGCCUAAUACAUGCAAGUCGAGCGAACGGACGAGAAGCUUGCUUCUCUGAUGUUAGCGGCGGACGGGUGAGUAACACGUGGAUAACCUACCUAUAAGACUGGGAUAACUUCGGGAAACCGGAGCUAAUACCGGAUAAUAUUUUGAACCGCAUGGUUCAAAAGUGAAAGACGGUCUUGCUGUCACUUAUAGAUGGAUCCGCGCUGCAUUAGCUAGUUGGUAAGGUAACGGCUUACCAAGGCAACGAUGCAUAGCCGACCUGAGAGGUGAUCGGCCACACUGGAACUGAGACACGGUCGAGACUCCUACGGGAGGCAGCAGUAGGGAAUCUUCCGCAAUGGGCGAAAGCCUGACGGAGCAACGCCGCGUGAGUGAUGAAGGUCUUCGGAUCGUAAAACUCUGUUAUUAGGGAAGAACAUAUGUGUAAGUAACUGUGCACAUCUUGACGGUACCUAAUCAGAAAGCCACGGCUAACUACGUG